GAAGGUGUGAGAAUGAUGUUUUCUGGUUCUUGAGUCUGAUGGAAUGAGAAUUGUGCUAGAUGGUAUAGCAACAAGUUGAUGUGUGAUCUUGUACAUCAUAACCAGUCGUGCACGCAGUCUGCGUUGUGUCAAAAUAGGCCAGUUUAGUGUGUUCAGCAUGUUUGAUACACUACUAGUAUUAUGAUACCUGUUGCAGGCAUACCGAGCAGCUCGCCUUUGGACCAUCUCUAUCUUUGAAAUAGAUUCUGAAGUGUGGGGGUCCCAAACUGAGCAAGAGUAUUCGAGUUUGGGACGGACAAGUGCUUGGUAUGCCUGGCUCUUGAUGUUUUGGUUUGAUGUUUUCAGAUUUCUUCGAAGGAAGCCGAGAGUUUUGUUGGCCUUUGAUAUAUUGUCAUCUAUGUGUUUGUCCCAUUUAAGGUUUGAUUGUAAUGUGAUGCUAAGUACUUAGCAGAUGUAACAGAUUCUAGUAUAUGAUUGUGGAGAGUGUAAUUAUGUUUUAAAGGUUGACGUUUAGUUGUUACAGAGAGAACAUUACACUUGUCUGGGUGGAAGGCCAUCAGCCAGCCUCUUCAUUUUGCAGCUGCGUCAAGGUCAGCUUGCAGUUUUAGGCAGUCACUCUGGGAUUUAACUGGCAUGUAUAAGAUACUGUCAUCAGCAAAUAGUCUUAGUUUGCUAUGUGUAAGGUAGUCUGGAAGGUCGUUGAUAUACGCCAAGAAUAAGACAGGACCUAAGACAGUACCUUGAGGAACCCCAGAGGUGACUGGGACUGUGCUUGAUGAUCUUCCAUCCAGAACAACUGUCUGGGUUCGAUCAGAGAGAAAUGCAGAGAUCCAAUUUAAAGUGUUUCCAUUAAUGCCAAAAUAGUGUAAUUUGUAUAGUAAGUGACGAUGCGGAACUUUAUCAAAGGCUUUCGCAAAGUCCAUUAUUACAAGGUCUGUUUGUGUAUUUGAAUUGUUUGUGGAUUGAAGUUCUUGAAUGAAGGAGAGAAGUUGUGUCUCACAAGAACGAGAGUGCCGAAAGCCAUGUUGAAGGUCGUACAAGAUGUUGUUUGAUUCGAGAUGUUUCAUAAUGUGUGAUGUUACUAUGUGUUCCAUUAACUUGCAGCAAAUACAAGUUAAUGAAAUAGGUCUAUAAUUGACCGGUUUAUGCUUAUCCCCUUUUUUAUAUGCUGGUGCGACUCUAGCGUGUUUCCAGUCGUUAGGUGUAAUACCAGUGUUGUAUGAUUUGUUAAAGAUUAAGCAUAGUAUUGGUGCAAUUUCUGUCUUCAUUUCUUUCUUAUUGA
rnacentral:lncRNA from 1 species